GACGAACGCUGGCGGCGUGCUUAACACAUGCAAGUCGAACGGAAAGGCCCUGCUUUUGUGGGGUGCUCGAGUGGCGAACGGGUGAGUAACACGUGAGUAACCUGCCCUUGACUUUGGGAUAACUUCAGGACACUGGGGCUAAUACCGGAUAGGAGCUCCUGCUGCAUGGUGGGGGUUGGAAAGUUUCGGCGGUUGGGGCUGGACUCGCGGCUUAGCAGCUUGUUGGUGGGGUAGUGGCUUACGAAGGCUUUGACGGGUAGCCGGCCUGAGGGGGUGACCGGCCACAUUGGGACUGAGAUACGGCGCAGGCUCCGACGAGAGGCAGCAGUGGGAAAUAUUGCACAAUGGGCGGAAGCCUGAUGCAGCAACGCCGCGUGCGGGAUGACGGCCUUCGGGUUGUAAACCGCUUGCGCCUGUGACGAAGCGUGAGUGACGGUAAUGGGUAAAGAAGCACCGGCUAACUACGUG
rnacentral:rRNA from 1 species